UACAGAGGUCUCAAGCGUUGUUCGGAAUCACUGGGCGUAAAGGGUGCGUAGGUGGCGUGGUAAGUCAGAUGUGAAAGCCCGGGGCUCAACCUCGGAAUUGCGUCCGAUACUGCCGUGCUAGAGUACUGAAGAGGUGACUAGAAUUCUCGGUGUAGCAGUGAAAUGCGUAGAUAUCGAGAGGAAUACCAACGGCGAAGGCAGGUCACUGGGCAGUUACUGACACUGAGGCACGAAGGCCAGGGGAGCAAACGGG
rnacentral:rRNA from 1 species